AGUGAGGAAUAUUGCGCAAUGGGGGCAACCCUGACGCAGCAACGCCGCGUGAGUGAGGAAGGUUUUCGGACCGUAAAGCUCUGUCGAGCGGGAAGAAAUGUAUCAUGGCUAAUAUCCAUGAUGCUUGACGGUACCGCUAGAGGAAGCACCGGCUAACUCCGUGCCAGCAGCCGCGGUAAUACGGGGGGUGCAAGCGUUGUUCGGAAUCAUUGGGCGUAAAGAGCGUGUAGGCGGUUGGACAAGUCAGAUGUGAAAGCCCUGGGCUCAACCCAGGAAGUGCAUUUGAAACUGUUCAGCUAGAGUAAGGGAGAGGAAAGUGGAAUUCCUGGUGUAGAGGUGAAAUUCGUAGAUAUCAGGAGGAACACCGGUGGCGAAGGCGACUUUCUGGCCCUAUACUGACGCUGAGACGCGAGAGCGUGGGUAGCAAACAGGAUUAGAUACCCUGGUAGUCCACGCUGUAAACGAUGUUCACUAGGUGUU
rnacentral:rRNA from 1 species